CGGCGGCGGCGGAACGGAGCGGGACCAUGGAGGAUCCCGGCCCCGGUCCGGCCGCGGAGAGCCCGGCGGAGCCCGGUCCCCCGGGGCCGGAAGGGGAGCGCCACCGCGGCGCCUACACCGCCUUCAUGAAGUCCCACCGCUGCUACGACCUGAUCCCCACCAGCUCCAAACUGGUCGUCUUCGACACUUCCCUGCAGGUGAAGAAGGCUUUCUUCGCACUGGUCACCAAUGGCGUGCGGGCUGCCCCGCUGUGGGACAGCAAGAAACAAAACUUUGUGGGCAUGCUGACCAUCACCGACUUCAUCAACAUCCUGCACCGCUACUACAAGUCACCCAUGGUGCAGAUCUAUGAGCUGGAGGAGCACAAAAUCGAAACGUGGAGAGAGGUCUACCUACAGGACUCCUUCAAGCCACUGGUCUGCAUCUCCCCUAAUGCCAGCCUCUUUGAUGCUGUCUCCUCCCUCAUCCGCAACAAGAUCCACCGCUUGCCCGUUAUCGACCCUGACUCGGGGAACACGCUCUACAUACUCACCCACAAACGCAUUCUCAAGUUCCUCAAACUCUUUGACCAUGGCCCGGGCCCCAGGGUGGCCAGAGCCGGCAGCACCACGGGGCCUGGGGCGUGUCAGGCUGAGCCAGCAUCAGCACUGUCCCCCUCCCCGUCCCCUGCAGAUAGCAGAGGUCCCAAAGCCCGAGUUCAUGUCCAAGACGCUGGAGGAACUGCAGAUCGGCACCUACAACAACAUCGCCAUGGUGCGGACCAGCACCCCCAUCUACGUGGCGCUGGGCAUCUUUGUGCAGCACCGUGUGUCCGCUCUGCCGGUCGUCGACGAUUCGGAACCUGGCGGCCGAAAAGACCUACAACAACCUGGACGUGACGGUGACGCGGGCGCUGCAGCACCGCUCCCACUACUUUGAGGGUGUCCUCAAGUGUUACAAGCACGAGACGCUGGAAACCAUCAUCAACCGCCUGGUGGAGGCCGAGGUUCACCGGCUGGUGGUGGUGGACGAGAGCGACGUGGUCAAGGGAAUCGUCUCUCUCUCUGAUAUCCUGCAAGCUCUGGUCCUCCCGCAGGGACCCUGAGGCGGGGGGGUGCGUGUUCAUCCCCUCCCAGUGUCCCCACCCUCCUCUCCUGCCACCCUGUGCACCCCCUGGGCUGGCGAGGAUGCCCGGGGCAGGGACCCCACUCACCAGCAGUGUCCAGCAAUAACCUCCAGCCAUGGGGCAGCCCCACGCCAUCCUGGGCAGGGAGAGCCCCCCUGGCUCCUCCCGCACCACACCCUGCACUGCAAGGCCCUGUGGGGUGGGCAGUGGGGUGCUGGGGGCACCCCCAGACCCCGCCCUGGGGUGCAGGGCCAGCUUCAGCCACCCCUGGGCCAGGGCCGUUCCCUGUGCAGACCCAUGUCCCCCUCACUGCACACGGGGUGUCACUGAGUUUGGUUGUUAAUUGUCCUCACUCAGCUCCGUCUGGCCUGGGGCUGCCCCCCCUGUGCCACCCCAGGGCCCCCCAAUCCCGAUGCGCUCCCCACCACUGCUUCAUGUGUGGAGAGAAGCUGCAAAUAAACACAGACCUGGCACUAA